rnacentral:rRNA from 1 species
UGGGGAAUAUUGGACAAUGGGCGAAAGCCUGAUCCAGCCAUGCCGCGUGAGUGAAGAAGGCCUUCGGGUUGUAAAGCUCUUUUAGUCGGAAAGAAAAGAUCAUAAUGAACAAUUAUGAUUCAUGACGGUACCGACAGAAAAAGCACCGGCUAACUACGUGCCAGCAGCCGCGGUAAUACGUAGGGUGCGAGCGUUAAUCGGAAUUACUGGGCGUAAAGGGUGCGCAGGCGGUCUUGCAAGUCAGAUGUGAAAGCCCCGGGCUUAACCUGGGAAUUGCGUUUGAAACUACAAGGCUAGAGUGCAGCAGAGGGGAGUGGAAUUCCAUGUGUAGCAGUGAAAUGCGUAGAGAUGUGGAAGAACACCGAUGGCGAAGGCAGCUCCCUGGGUUGACACUGACGCUCAUGCACGAAAGCGUGGGGAGCAAACA